rnacentral:rRNA from 1 species
AUUGAACGCUGGCGGCAUGCCUAACACAUGCAAGUCGAACGGCAGCACAGCAGUAGCAAUACUGUGGGUGGCGAGUGGCGGACGGGUGAGGAAUACGUCGGAAUCUGCCCAGUCGUGGGGGAGUAACUAGCCGAAAGGUUAGCUAAUACCGCAUACGACCGAGAGGUGAAAGCGGGGACCGGCAAGGCCUCGCGCGAUUGGAUGAGCCGACGUCGGAUUAGCUAGUUGGCGGGGUAAAGGGCCCACCAAGGCGACGAUCCGUAGCUGGUCUGAGAGGAUGAUCAGCCACACUGGAACUGAGACACGGUCCAGACUCCUACGGGAGGCAGCAGUGGGGAAUAUUGGACAAUGGGCGCAAGCCUGAUCCAGCAAUGCCGCGUGUGUGAAGAAGGCCUUCGGUUG